rnacentral:tRNA from 1 species
GGAGAGGUGCCUGAGUGGUUGAAAGGGGCACACUGCUAAUGUGUUAUGCGGGUUAUACCGUAUCCAGGGUUCGAAUCCCUGCCUCUCCG